rnacentral:rRNA from 1 species
AUUGAACGCUGGCGGCGUGCUUAACACAUGCAAGUCGUGCGGUAACAGGCGUAGCAAUACGUGCUGACGAGCGGCGAACGGGUGCGUAAUACAUGGGAAUCUGCCCUUUAGUGGGGAAUAACCCGGCGAAAGCCGGGCUAAUGCCGCAUAAGAUCUUCGGAUGAAAGCGGGGAUACGUAAGACCUCGCGCUGAUGGAUGAGCCCAUGUCGAUUAGCUAGNGGUGAGGUAACGGCUCACCAAGGCGACGAUCCGUAGCUGGUCUGAGAGGACGGCCAGCCACACUGGGACUGAGACACGGCCCAGACUCCUACGGGAGGCAGCAGU